CAAAAAGCGUGUCCACAGGCUGCAUUUAGAGCGGCCCUGGCCUGGGUGAGGCAGCUUGCCUCUUAGAAGGAGGAGAGGCAGAGCUCAGUAGGAAACCCCAAGGACCUUCAAGCAGUAAGAGCUGAGACCUGGAAGGUUCUUCCACACUGAGAAGUCAAGACCUCUUCCAGACCACGACCAGGGCAAGCAGCUCAGGUCCUCUGAAACCAGAAUUGGCCGGAGAUGGUGUUUCGCCCUGUUGUCCAGGCUGGUCUCAAACUUUCUGGCCUCAAGUGAUCCACCUGCCUCAGUCUCCCCAAGUGCUGGAAUUACAGCUCCAGAGCGACAAUGGCCCAGGUGUACUCACCAUUUUACCAUCAGGUGAGAGGAGAUUGUGGCCUGGGUCCAGGCUGGCUGGGGAGACUUGCUGUAAAACCGACUGGCUGGUCACCAUGGCGCUGUUGCCAUGGUGACUGAUUGUUGAGGAGGAAGUGAUCUCAUUGUUUCCCUGCUGGCUGUAGCGCACUCCUGCAAAACAACACAAACCCAGUAGGGAACAUUAGUGCCACCAGGGUCCUGGAACAAUGACUCGGCACCUCUUGUUUUCAAGGGUGGGUAAUAAGAAAAUAAAGUUGCUUUCUCCUCCCCUGUCCACCCACAAGAAAUAUCGGCUGCUUUUCUCCAGGGUAAAUAUGGCAUGUUCUCUAUUUAAUUCUAGAAUGUAAGCGCCACGAGGGCAGGAAAUUUUUAUCUCGUUUGUUUUGUUCACUGAUGUAUCCCCAGUGCCUUGGCACUGAAUAGCCACUCGGUAAACUUCUGAUGAAUAAAUGAAUGACUGGAUGGAUUCUGUUUGUUAUUGCUUCCGCACAGUUCUUUGAGGAUUUGGGGGUUGAGACUAGCCUUCUGUUACUGGCUGGAGUAUUUUUUAUUCUUUAAAAUGCCUUUUAGAAAUGUUUCCCUGGCAUCCCUCGUGGUGCUGCAAAGUAUAAGUAGACCCAUGUGACGAAGAAGAAGC
rnacentral:lncRNA from 1 species